GUUGGAAAAUUGGGAUUUUCAAGUGCAAAAUCGAAUCUUAUGAUAUGUUGGGAAUCUCUUAUGAUAAUCAUCCACAUCUGAAACGUAUCUUAAUGCCGGAAAGUUAGAUAGGGUGGCCUUUACGUAAAGAUUAUAUUUCA